rnacentral:rRNA from 1 species
CGGACGGGUGAGUAACGCGUGGGUAACCUGCCUCAUACAGGGGGAUAACAGUUAGAAAUGACUGCUAAUACCGCAUAAGACCACAGCACCGCAUGGUGCAGGGGUAAAAACUCCGGUGGUAUGAGAUGGACCCGCGUCUGAUUAGGUAGUUGGUGGGGUAGCGGCCCACCAAGGCAACGAUCAGUAGCCGACCUGAGAGGGUGACCGGCCACAUUGGGACUGAGACACGGCCCAG